AGGAAAAAAAAUCACUUAUCAGUUAGUAUUUUAGGUAAAACGACAGUAGUCUAAAAGUCCAAUUUCUAGUGGGUUUAUCAACAGACAGCAUUAAACAUGGAAACAGCUUCUGAGUCAGAACAAUAAAGCCGAUGUGAAAGCAACUUAAUCUGCAUUGAGACACCUUAAACCUGGACCAGAUGGCAAUAUCUCUGGUAGGAAAACGACUUCCUAUGCUAUAGAAGUUUAUUGGAAAACAGCUUUCUGAGCUCGACCUUUGUGAACACUUACCUGCUGAGUUUAUGGGUUCAGUAACUCAUUUUGGGUCAUAUUCGGCCCACCCAAACCUUUAAUCAAAACUCUGAUCAUCACACAUGUAGAAUAUGAAGUAUUUCUUUUGUAUUUUGAGAAACACAGUUUGAUCUUCUGAUCAUUUACUUGUUAAACUUAAUGCUCCAUUACAGGCUUGGCAUUUCUUUCCUAUGAGGAGAUAUGAUCAGUCCGAGAUUAAAAACAGGUCAAAAGAGGAGUGUUGAUAGUAAGAACCCAAUGGAUCAUUUUAUUAGAUGAGUUUCUCCUGUAAGGCUUUCCUAGUAUAUCUAAGCUAAAUACCAAAACCCAGAUGAGAAUACCUUUAUCCCUUUUUAUUUAUCCAAAACAAUAUUCCCCCAAAAAAGAAAAAUCCUCCAAGUAUUAAUAAGUUCUUAAUAUGCAGACCCACAUGGAAUACCUUCAUUGCCCACUAGAGGGGCUCAGCUAUUAGCUAAAUUCUUGGCAUAUUUCAGGGUAAUGUGUGCGACAAGUGGAGGACAAAAGAAGAGGUAGCAGGCCUAAACGCUAUCUAUAGCAGAUGAACAGUAUGUGAAAGUCAUGUCCUUAAGAAACAGGAAGAAAUCCAGCAAAGACCUGGCACAGGACCUGAGAGCUGAACUGCCCUUCAGUUGAUCAUCAGAAAUGAUCUCAGUGGAAGGGAAACAGGGGGGAAGGCUGAGAUUGGCCAAAUGACACAGGAACUGGACUGAAAGUCAGUAGCAGCAGGUCUUUGUCAACAUGUACUGAGAAGGUUAGCAGAAAGGUACAACAGUGACAGUACUAUCUGGAAAGUGUCUGAUUAGCAAUGGCUUCAUUUUUCAGCAUGACAAUGAUACUAAACACACUUCCAAUCCAGUAAAAACAUAACCUGGAUAGAAAAACACAAUGGAACACAAUCGGUCAUGGAUUGGCCUCCCCAGAGCCGUGUGGGAUCAUCUUGACAGAGGACAGAACAAAAGGCAGCCAACAUGCAAAGAUGAGCUUUGAAUGUUCUUCAAGAACCUUGGAGAACUAUUCCUGAGGACUACUUAAAGAAAUAAGGAGAAAACUUGCCUGAGAGAGUUCAAGGAAUGCAGUCAACCAUCCUCACAGUGGAUUCAAACAGAUUGUGAAGAAAUUACAUGAAAUAACACAUUCAUAUAACAGAGAGCCUUCCUGUUUCUUACUCCUAACGCUGCAGAUCUUCCAGGAAAACAAGCUGGGCUUUUAUUGUGAAGCAGCUGCAAGAAAAAUAGUCCAUUUUCCAAUGUGUUCAUCACUGACAGUGACUUCUCAUCUAAUACUAUAAAUCUUAAACUAUAAAACGAGACAUUUUUCCUCCAUCGGUUGAAUAUUAAAUUUGUUUUAGACAUA